UACGUAGGGGGCAAGCGUUGUCCGGAUUUAUUGGGCCUAAAGCAUCCGUAGCCGGUUCUACAAGUCUUCCGUUAAAUCCACCUGCUUAACAGAUGGGCUGCGGAAGAUACUAUAGAGCUAGGAGGCGGGAGAGGCAAGCGGUACUCGAUGGGUAGGGGUAAAAUCCGUUGAUCCAUUGAAGACCACCAGUGGCGAAGGCGGCUUGCCAGAACGCGCUCGACGGUGAGGGAUGAAAGCUGGGGGAGCAAACCGG
rnacentral:rRNA from 1 species